rnacentral:sRNA from 1 species
GCUUGUCUCAGUUGUGACCGGCAGCCACUGGGUUGCGCGGGCGGGGCCCGUCACUGGCUGGCGGAGCUGCAGCAUCAGACAGUGGUCCCAGCCUAUGCUUGGGGGUUUGUGCGUUUCGCCCCGUGCCCGGCAGCUUUCUCAGUCCUGUGCCAAGUGCGAAGGUGUGCCAGGCCAGUCUGACCUGGGGUGGGCCUGAGCCGGGUACCCCAGCUUCCCCCGUGUGCACAGGCCUGGGCCAGCUGCUGGUGUGGGAGUGGCAGAGUGAGUCCUACGUGCUCAAGCAGCAGGGCCACUUCAACAGCAUGGUGGCCCUGGCCUACUCGCCCGAUGGACAGUACAUCGUGACUGGCGGGGAUGACGGCAAGGUGAAGGUGUGGAACACCCUCAGCGGCUUCUGCUUUGUCACUUUUACGGAGCACUCCAGCGGGGUGACUGGUGUGACCUUUACUGCCACCGGCUACGUUGUGGUGACCUCAUCUAUGGACGGGACCGUGCGAGCCUUUGACCUUCACAGGUACCGAAACUUCCGCACCUUCACCUCUCCACGCCCCACCCAGUUCUCCUGCGUGGCAGUGGAUGCGAGCGGUGAGAUCGUCUCUGCAGGGGCGCAGGACUCCUUUGAGAUUUUCGUGUGGUCCAUGCAGACAGGCAGGCUCCUUGACGUUUUGUCUGGACAUGAAGGGCCCAUCAGUGGUCUGUGUUUUAACCCAAUGAAGUCCAUCCUGGCCAGUGCCUCCUGGGACAAGACAGUGCGCCUGUGGGACAUGUUUGACAGCUGGAGGACCAAGGAGACGCUGGCUCUGACCUCUGAUGGUGAGCACGAGGCAGCAGGCAGGAGCAGCGGCCUGGGGACCAGCAGCAUGCUGUCACACCCGCUGCCCUGUUCCUGGUUGUGGGUUUGGUGUGAACCUUCUGGUGGGAAGCAGGGGGUGGCUUUUAACCCAGACCUGCUGGCAUGGCAGCCCUUGAGGUUGGCAGUACCUAGGAGACAGCAGAUUGGCAAGUCGGGCCAGCGUGGCUUCCACGAGUCCUUGUAGGGCUCCCGCUCUGUGGGCAAGUAUGCCAGGCAGGAGAGAACAGCUCCCCAAGGGUGAAGGGCUGCUGCCACAGCUGCUUCCUGAUUUUCAGAGUUGCUUUGGAGCUCUGCCAGGCUUUUGGCAUCACAUGUGGCUUCUUUGCAGAGCUCUGUAUUCUAGUCUGUCCAGCCACCCUCAGUAACCACCAUCACUCACCCGUCAGCCUCACCUUCCCAGCGCCCCCUCCAUCGGCCUUCGUGGGUCCUGUGGCCCCAGCUGGACUGCCUCGUGCUCGUCACUGGCGCUGAGUUGUUCCCUCACCUAUCUGGGUUGGAUUCUCCUGGGAGGAGAUUCUUGUGUACCAGACCAAACAGGCGCUGGUCUCUUAGGGGUGCCAGGGCACGGCCUGGUCUCCAGCCAAGGGUGGUUGGUGGCCUGCCUGCGGGAGACUAGGGUCUUCGUUGGGCCUUACUUUGCAUCUCUGUUUAGCUCUGGCUGUGACUUUUCGCCCUGAUGGUGCGGAGCUGGCUGUGGCCACACUGAACUCACAGAUUACCUUCUGGGACCCCGAGAACGCGGUGCAGACGGGCUCCAUUGAGGGCAGGCAUGACCUGAAGACCGGCAGGAAGGAGCUGGACAAGAUUACAGCCAAGCACGCGGCCAAGGGGAAGGCCUUCACCACCCUGUGCUACUCUGCAGACGGCCAGAGCAUCCUGGCAGGAGGCAUGUCCAAGUUCGUGUGCAUCUACCACGUCCGUGAGCAGAUUCUCAUGAAGAGGUUCGAGAUCUCUUGCAACCUGUCUCUGGAUGCCAUGGAGGUGAGCCGGCAGCGCGGGGCCGGAUGGAUGUUGCUUCCAAUGCAGGUGGAAUGCGUCGGGCUCCUGCAUUCUGCACUCCUGGCUCCAAGGGGCCUUGGGCACAGUCGUGGUGCUUGUCCUGUAUCUAAGUGCAUGGGUCCGUCACCUGCCCCAGCAGAGCCCGGCCGUGAAGCCCAGUGCCUGCCUCAGCCGUGUGUGGAGCCGCGGUCCCCAACCCUUUUGGCAUUUGGGACCGGUUUCGUGGAAGGCAGUUUUUCCACAGACAGGGUUGGGGGGAUUGGUUUUGGGAUGAAGCUGUUUCACCUCAGAUCAAGAUCACCAGGCAUUAGAUUCUCAGAAGGAGGGUGCAACCUAGAUCCGUCACAUGUGUGGUUCACAAUAGGGUUCGUGCUCCUAUGAGAAUCUAAUGCUGCCACUGAUCUGUCAGGAGGCGGAGCUCAGGUGGUAAUGCGAGCAAUGGGGAACGGCUGUAAAUUCAGAUGAAGCUUCACUCACUCGCCUGCCCACUGCUCACCUCCUGCUGUGCAACCUGUUUCCUAACAGGCCAUGGGCCGGUACCAGGGGUUGGGGACCCCUGUUGUGGAUGACCCUGCCAAGGCUGGUUGCUAUGAGGCUGGAGAUGUGGGGGGCAGUGCCCAGCACACGCUGGCUCGGGAGACACGGACACCUGUCAGGGAAGGAGUGAAUGAAGAGGGUGCUGGUAGGCCCUGCCCGAUGGCUUCCUGCCCGGGGUCCCGCGUACAGGGCUUUGCCUUCACUGUCCCCACUGGUGCCUGCCCUCCCCGCUCAGCACAGCCCUCGGCUCAGGUCCCACUCACAUGCUGGGUCCUGCAGGACCUCAGAAUGAGAGUGAGGGAGCCCUGGUAGCCUCUAAGCAGGGGUGUGGCUGCUGGGUUCACCUGUCCACGCCCCAUCAGAGCAGAAGCCCAGUGUCCCCUAAGUGUUUCUGGGGGAAGGUGUCCUUGGCAUUUUCCCGAGGGAGUAGACGGCCAUCCUCGCUGUGAGCCCCAGCCCUUGUGAUGGUGGCAGCAAUGGCAGCAUGUAGACCUCAGUCCAUCCCCUCCACAGCCUCCACACCUGCCCCGCUCCACAGCUUCCACACCCACCCUGUCUGCAGCUAGCUCUGCAGGAAGGGUCCCUGGGGCACUGCAGGGCUCUCUCCCUGUCCUCGUUCUAAACAGGGCUGAGGCUGGUCUGGUGUUGGCAUCAAAGAGCAAAGGUAGGAGAGGAGGGCCAGGCGGCCGGGCCGUCAGAAGCAGGGCGUCCACUGCUUUUGCUGUUCUAGGAAUUUUUGAACCGAAGAAAAAUGACAGAGUUUGGCAACCUGGCACUAAUUGAUCAGGAUGCUGGGCAGGAGGACGGAGUCGCAAUACCACUGCCAGGCGUCAGGAAAGGUGACAUGAGUUCUCGGCACUUCAAACCUGAGAUCAGGGUGACCUCACUCCGCUUCUCUCCCACUGGUGAGCACUGAGCCAUGGGCUUUUGGUGCCAGUGGGCACUGGGGCAUCUGUGCCGUGGCAAGGCUGGCCACCAUGGAGCUGCCUGCAGGCUCUGGGCUGUGCCCUGUGUCCCUGGGUAAGAACAUGGCGCUGCAAACCCUGCAGGCCGCAAGAUGGCUGUUGUCCCUGAGGAUGGACGGCUAUGACGGUGCCAACCUCAGACGCACUGAGCUUUGAAACAUGGCAGGCCUGGCAUGCCCUCGCUCUAGCAGCUCCCCAAGUGCCCUGGAUGUGCUGCCUGGCUGGGGCGGCUCUGCCAUCACGGAGAGCCUGUCUCCUCCGCACUGCCCCCAUCCUCUCGCAGCGGGGAGGAGUGUCUGUGCCACAGGCCUGUGGAGCCUGGCGGUGCACAUGGUCCCCACACAGAGGAGCCAGGAGCAGGGCUAUUGGCAAGUGUGCUCCAGCCUAGACUGAGUGUCAGAGCCAGGGGUCUGUGCCGUCGGGCCCAAGGGCCAAAUCUGGCUGGCCACCUGCUUUGGUCACUGAUGUUUUACUGGGACAUUUUACUGGGCAUUUUUUCGUUGGCGGAUCCUUCUGGCUGUCUCUAGUGCUCCGUGCAGCACUGAGUAGGUGCGGCAGAGACCACAGAGCCUGCGGAGCUGGAGACGCCUGAGCUUGACAGAAGACUUGGCUGGCUCCCGGCGUCAGGAGAGGAGGACGCAUGCGUGUACAUAUUUGCUUAUAUGUGCAUCCCUGGGAGAGUAACUUCGGGAUGAUCCAUUCAUUCCUUCUCAGGGGAGUAGUGGGGUGGGGGCUAGAGGCAGACGUCCCGGUUCCUGUUGACUUUUGCACUUUGUCCCAGGGGAAUGUACUUAAUACUGUUUCUUU